GGCCAGUUAAAUGUUUUUAGUAAUCAUUGAAUUAGUUAAGACAAUUGUUUUAUACGUUAAAUUUUACUGUAUUUUUUUACUGUUCUUGGCAUUUGGCAAUCGUACCAUUAAAAAAAAGAAGAAAAUUGUUAAAUAAAACCAAUGUUUAUUGGGUAACACGUUAUCGAUAACACGUUGCCGAACUGCGAAACAGAGUGCAAAAGCAAAACGAAGAGAACGCAGCGCAACCGAGAAAACCAAAUCGAAGCAGCACUGCAAGCGAGAAAUAUUUUUAUUUUCUAAAAGUUUAUUGCCAAUUUUAAGGGAUUUGCGUGCAUCAGAGCAAGGAGUCAAGUGCCGGUUAGCCGAACAGCAAGCGAAAAGACUGACUACAAAGUAAGCAGCAGCAGCAUCAGCAGCAGCGAAAGGAAUUUCACCCAAGGCUAACUUCAGGAAAAAAAACUUCACUUCACUCAAAUUUCGCAACAUCAGCAACAACAAUCAAUCACCAU